rnacentral:rRNA from 1 species
UGCAGUCGAACGAAAUCUUUAGGGAUUGAGUGGCGGACGGGUGAGUAACGCGUGAGAAUCUGCCUCUAGAAUGGGGACAACAGUUGGAAACGACUGCUAAUACCCAAUGAGCCGAAAGGUAAAAGAUUUAUCGUCUAGAGAGGAGCUCGCGUCCGAUUAGUUAGUUGGUGAGGUAAAGGCUCACCAAGACGGCGAUCGGUAGCUGGUCUGAGAGGAUGAGCAGCCACACUGGGACUGAGACACGGCCCAGACUCCUACGGGAGGCAGCAGUGGGGAAUUUUCCGCAAUGGGCGAAAGCCUGACGGAGCAAUACCGCGUGAGGGAGGAAGGCUUUUGGGUUGUAAACCUCUUUUCUCAAGGAAGAAAAAAAUGACGGUACUUGAGGAAUAAGCAUCGGCUAACUCCGUGCCAGCAGCCGCGGUAAUACGGAGGAUGCAAGCGUUAUCCGGAAUCAUUGGGCGUAAAGCGUCCGCAGGUGGCAAUCCAAGUCUGCUAUCAAAGACCAGAGCUCAACUCUGGGAAGGUGGUGGAAACUGGAUAGCUAGAGUACGGUAGGGGUAGAGGGAAUUUCCAGUGUAGCGGUGAAAUGCGUAGAGAUUGGAAAGAACACCAGUGGCGAAGGCGCUCUACUGGGCCGUAACUGACACUAAGGGACGAAAGCUAGGGGAGCGAAAGGGAUUAGAUACCCCUGUAGUCCUAGCUGUAAACGAUGGAUACUAGGCGUUGCUUGUAUCGACCCGAGCAGUGCCGUAGCCAACGCGUUAAGUAUCCCGCCUGGGGAGUACGCACGCAAGUGUGAAACUCAAAGGAAUUGACGGGGGCCCGCACAAGCGGUGGAUAUGUGGUUUAAUUCGAUGCAACGCGAAGAACCUUACCAGGACUUGACAUCCCGCGAAUCUCUUGGAAAAGAGAGAGUGCCUU